UCCUGGUUAACCCAGGCAGUCUCACUAGAGUUCCCACCAUUACGUGUUGGCAACUAGUGAUAAGGGUUGCGCUCGUUGCUGGACUUAACCAAACACCUCACGGCACGAGCUGACGACAGCCAUGCAGCACCUGUGCAGAGGCCCCGAAGGGAGUAUCCAUCUCUGGAUAUGUCCUCUGCAUGUCAAGACUGGGUAAGGUUCUUCGCGUUGCAUCGAAUUAAACCACAUGCUCCACUGCUUGUGCGGGUCCCCGUCAAUUCUUUUGAGUUUCACCCUUGCGAGCGUACUCCCCAGGCGGUACACUUAUCGCGUUAGCUUCGACACAACUAGGGUUGAUUCCAGUUACAUCAAGUGUACAUCGUUUACGGCAAGGACUAC
rnacentral:misc_RNA from 1 species